UUGUCCUGGCCUGUGGUUUUUCUGUUCCCCUGUGCUCAGUUCUCAGGGGACUCCGGCAGGACGCACAGCAAGCUCCCUCUCAGUUUAGGAGGGCCGUCCUGAGAAUAGGGCUGGCUCUUAAAGGCACGAGAGGACAGU
rnacentral:snoRNA from 8 species